rnacentral:rRNA from 1 species
GAUGAACGCUAGCGACAGGCCUAACACAUGCAAGUCGAGGGGUAACAGGGGCUUCGGCCCGCUGACGACCGGCGCACGGGUGAGUAACGCGUAUGCAACCUACCUGUAACUGGGGGAUAG